UUAGCCUAAAGUAUUAAAGGUAACGCCUGCCCAGUGAUAAAUUAAACGGCCGCGGGAUCCUCCACCGUGCAAAGGUAGCAUAAUCACUUGUCCCCUAAAUAGUGACUAGUAUGAAUGGCCAAAUGAAGAUUUUACUGUCUCUUAUAGCCGAUCUAUGAAACUAAUUUAUCAGUACAAAAGCUGAUAUAUUUACAUAAGACGAAAAGACCCUGUGGAACUUUAAGCACAACCCACCACAAUGGCCCACCUGCUUUUAGUUGGGGCAACUUUGGAAAAAAACAAAACUUCCAAUAAAAUUAAAGAUUAACAGAUCUAUAUGACUGCAUCCGACCCAACACAUGUUGAUCAAAGAACCAAGCUACCCCAGGGAUAACAGCGCCAUCCCCUCUUAGAGCCCAAAUCGACGAGCGGGGUUUACGACCUCGAUGUUGGAUCAGGGCCCCCAAACAGUGCAACAGCUGUUAAUGGUUUGUUUGUUCAACAAUUAAAGCCCUACGUGAUC
rnacentral:rRNA from 1 species